rnacentral:rRNA from 1 species
UACCAGCACCCCGAGUGGUCGGGACGAUUAUUGGGCCUAAAGCAUCCGUAGCCGGUCCUACAAGUCUUCCGUUAAAUCCACCUGCUUAACAGAUGGGCUGCGGAAGAUACUAUAGGGCUAGGAGGCGGGAGAGGCAAGCGGUACUCAGUGGGUAGGGGUAAAAUCCUCUGAUCCAUUGAAGACCACCAGUGGCGAAGGCGGCUUGCCGGAACGCGCUCGACGGUGAGGGAUGAAAGCUGGGGGAGCAAACCGG